AACUUCUUCUAAUCGUAAAGGAACGUAUAAACUCAGAAGAUGGGGAAGAAGAGAGAGGGUUCGAAGAAGACACUUGGGCAAAACCAAGAAGAGAGGGUUAACCCAGAAGGCUUUGGCUUUGGCUUCUAAUCAAAGUGAACCCAGAAGGUUUCAUCAAAAGAGAGAAGUUUGGAGGGAGCUCAAUCUCAUCUCUCUGAAUCAUCUCAUCGAAGAAGGGUUACCUGAUUCUCUUUCUUUUUAUGGUAAACUAUUGCUUCUUCUCUUUCACUCUCUCUCUCUCUCUCUCUACGAAGCUAGGGUUUCAAAACCACCACUGUCAAGAGGUGUUGAUUGAACGGAGAUUUGUGCUAGGUUGUUGCUGGAAAGAAAAUUUGUAUCAGGUUGGAAACCUGGAAUCCAAGAAAGGGUAGCUGAUUGGGAUGAAAAUUUGGACAAGUUUGAAGAUUAAGAAAGUCGCAAUCAAGAAGAUGGAUAUACAAGUUUCAAAGGAAUUUCUUGCUAAACUGAAGAUAUUGGGGCAAAAAAUAUCUCAAACUUCAUCUCUAAUUAUGCAAUUAGUGUGCCAAAUUUAGCGGUGAGGAACUUCUCAUGAAUGCUACUGAUUGGAGAUGAACGAAUUUGGUAACCUGCAUAGCAAGAGUUUUUUGUUGAUAUUACCAAACACAUCCAUCACAGUGGAGUAGUGCUUUUUGUUGAUAUUACCAAACAUGUAUUUUGACUAUGUUAUUAUGGGUUAUGAUUAUAUUGUGAUGGAUCUUAUCUUUUUGUUGAUAUUUUAUUGAAUAGAUUAAAAUGAACAGGUUUUUGUAAUAAUUUGUAAUGGAUAUUAUAUUCAGUAGGUUAUUAAAAUGCACAAGUUAUUUUGAUUGUGUUGUA